rnacentral:rRNA from 1 species
UACGAAGGGUGCAAGCGUUACUCGGAAUUACUGGGCGUAAAGCGUGCGUAGGUGGUUCGUUAAGUCUGAUGUGAAAGCCCUGGGCUCAACCUGGGAAUGGCAUUGGAAACUGGCGACCUAGAGUGCGGUAGAGGGUAGUGGAAUUCCCGGUGUAGCAGUGAAAUGCGUAGAGAUCGGGAGGAACAUCUGUGGCGAAGGCGGGUCUCUGGACAGGUUCCUGACACUGAGGCACGAAGGCCAGGGAGCAACGGG